AGGACAUAGUGUACAGGUUGAAUUCAUUGUUUUGGCAACGUCAAUAAUGUUCUUGACCUUUUCUGUGAUUGGACACCUUGUUAUCACAUGUUCUCAAACUCCAGCUGCCGUACAACAACAUAGAGGUGGUUGGCACAGUCAACAGAGGGAAGACAUGAACUGGGUUUAUUCUACUGUCGUCUUCACUGUGGUGAAAACAGACGUUGGUGCCACAACACACCCAAAAGCAGCAUGAAGGAAGAGGUUCUUGCUGUGAAGGCUCCUGGUUUGAAAUGAUUUAAGUCCAUUUAAUUGUUUUAUAUUGUAGCCUUAUGCAGCUCUACACAUGAUAUUUACAGAUUUUCAUUGUUAUAUUGUCUUAAGGUUAAGAAGUAGUUACCUUGAAUAUAUCAUGUAAAUGCUAGCGCUUCAGUUUAUUUUCUAUGCACCGCGUGUUGGUCAGCUUCAUGCUGUUUCACAUCAGGUGAAGCUUUAUAGCAGCUGAAAAGCACCUCUGUUACGCUGUCAAAUUUCAGUAAUGUAAGGUGUGCGUUUCUCAAGUGUUUACAACUGUACGUUGAAUUUUUAAUUUAAACAUGUUUUUCUUUAUAGAUAUUGUGUGAACAAUCAAUGAAAAGUUAAUUCAAAUAUAAAUAAAUAAAUAAUUGGC